rnacentral:rRNA from 1 species
AUGGCUGUCGUCAGCUCGUGUCGUGAGAUGUUGGGUUAAGUCCCGCAACGAGCGCAACCCUCGCCCCUAGUUGCCAUCAUUCAGUUGGGAACUCUAGGGGGACUGCCGGUGAUAAGUCGCGAGGAAGGUGGGGAUGACGUCAAGUCCUCAUGGCCCUUACAGGCUGGGCUACACACNGUGCUACAAUGGCGGUGACAAUGGGCAGCGAAAGGGCGACCUCGAGCUAAUCCCAAAAAGCCGUCUCAGUUCAGAUUGUACUCUGCAACUCGAGUACAUGAAGGUGGAAUCGCUAGUAAUCGUGGAUCAGCAUGCCACGGUGAAUACGUUCCCGGGCCUUGUACACACCGCCCGUCACACCAUGGGAGUUGGGUUUACCCGAAGGCGUCGCGCUAACCGCAAGGAGGCAGGCGACCACGGUAGGCUCAGCGACUGGGGUGAAGUCGUAACAAGGUAGCCGUAGGGGAACCUGCGGCUGGAUCACCUCCU